rnacentral:rRNA from 1 species
AAUGACUCUCGGCAACGGAUAUCUCAGCUCUCGUAUCGAUGAAGAACGUAGCGAAAUGCGAUACUUGGUGUGAAUUGCAGAAUCCCAUGAACCAUUGAGUAUUUGAAUGCAAGUUGCGCUCCAGGCCAUACGCCCGAGGGCACGUUUGCCUGGGCGUCACAA